rnacentral:rRNA from 1 species
AAUGAACGUUGGCGGCAUGGAUUAGGCAUGCAAGUCGAGCGAGAAGUGUAGCAAUACGAGGAAAGUGGCGGAAGGGAGAGGAUUACGUGGGAAUCUACCCUCAGAACUGGGAUAGCGGCGGGAAACUGCCGGUAAUACCAGAUAAUGUCUGUGGACCAAAGGUGUGAUUCCGUCUGGGGAUGAGCCCACGUCCUAUUAGCUAGUUGGCAGGGUAGUGGCCUACCAAGGCAAUGAUGGGUAGCGGGUGUGAGAGCAUGACCCGCCUCACUGGGACUGAGAACUGCCCAGACACCUACGGGUGGCUGCAGUCGAGAAUCUUCGGCAAUGAGCGCAAGCUUGACCGAGCGACGCCGCGUGCGGGAUGAAGGCCUUCGGGUUGUAAACCGCUGUCGUAGGGGAGCAAGAGAUGAGGGUACUCCCUCUGAUUUGAGCGAUCCUAGGAGGAAGGACGGGCUAAGUUCGUGCCAGCAGCCGCAGUAAGAC